rnacentral:tRNA from 1 species
UAUGGCAGAUAAAGUGCACUGGACUUAAACUCCUUUUAUAAAGAAUCAAUCUUUUAUUAAAA